GCUGGGCAUGGUGGCACACGUCUGUAAUCCCAGCAACUCUGGAGGCUGAGGCAGGAGGAUUGUGAGUUCAAACCCAGCUUCAGCAACUUAGCGAGUCCCUAAGCAACUCAGCGAGACCCUGUCUCUA
rnacentral:sRNA from 1 species